ensembl:lncRNA
CAGCAUUAACGUUUUCAGCAAUUUGUGCUACAGUAGCUCUUCUGUGGGCUCAGACCAGACAGGCUAGCCUUCGCUCCCUGUGAGCAUCAGUGAACCUUGGGUGUUUUUGAACCUGAAUCACUGUUGCCCUUCCUUGGCCACUUUUGGUAGGUACUAACCACUGCAUACAGGGAACACCCCACAAUACCUGUUGUUUAGAUAUGCUCUGACUCAGCCAUCUAGUCAUCACAAUUUUGGCCUGUGCCAAAGUUGCUCAGAUCAUUACGCACCCAUUUUUCCUGACUCCAACACAUCACUUUGAACUGACUGUUGACUUGCUGCCUAAUAUACCCCACCCCUUGGCAGGUGCCAUUGUAAGGUGCCUAAUAUACCCCACCCCUUGGCAGGUGCCUAAUAUACCCCACCCCUUGGCAGGUGCCUAAUAUACCCCACCCCUUGGCAGGUGCCACCCCUUGGCAGGUGCCAUUGUAAUCAAUGUCAUUCACUUCAUCUGUCAGUGGUUUUAAUGUUAUGGCUGAACAUUUUUAUAUAUGUUUAUGCAUAUUUUGCCUUCCAAGCACAGCACGCCUAUGUUUUCUCCUGCCAGCUCAUAUAGGCUAAAGAACAAACAAGUAACGACCCUACGAUACAGAUGUAGUGGGGUUUUCUCAGAUGAAAUAAUUCACCUUUGUUAAAAGUGAUGAUGUCGGACACAAAUGAUGGAGGCAGCAAUUUAACGAUCUUCAUUCUCUGCUUCAUCCUGGUCGUCCUUGUUCUUCUCCUGUUGUACCUCUACAAGCGACUGAACAAUGAAACAAAGGAUGAAUAUACCAUCCAGCGGCUUGUCUUCAGUGAGGGAGGCCUUCGUGAUCGUGUGAGGCAAGGCAUUGCAGAGGUCCAGACCAGGAUAGGUGACCUGCAUAAGGUCUCAACCCCUUGAUGAAGAGCAAGCUUUGAGCAAUAAUGAAGAUGGGAAUAGUGGCAGAGAAGAAGAACGAGACGAAGAAGAAGAUGCAGGACAAGGUCAAAGGGAAAAUGAGAACAAGACAGAAGAGAAAGAAGAGGAACAUCAAGAUCAUGAUUCAUCAGACGACUAUUCCAGCAUUGACCUAAGGGAGAGAGUAAAGCAGAAUAACAGCAAUGAAGAGGAAAUGAAAGAAGAUGAACAAGAGAAACAAGAGGUGGCAAAAGAUGAAGGAAAAAGAGAUGACAAUAAACAAGAGGAAGAUGUGAAGAAUGAAGAAAGGGUUGGCUUACUUGUAGACUUGAAGGCAUUCUCUGGCAGUGCCAUUUGGUCUGAGGAGAAAAAGGAAGAGACUAAUGUGACAGCUUUGUGAAAUAUAGAAGGCUUUAGCCUAAAUAUGAGGCUCAUUAGAAGAAAAGUCUAGACUUGACGAUGUUUGUCUUGCGAUGAGUGAUUUACCUUUGUCAUUCUUAAAAACCUGAUGCAUCCAUAAUAUCCAUAAGAUAGUUUAUUAUUUUUCUUAUCCAUGGCUUAUUUUAUUAGCAUGUUUUCUGUAAUGGCUGACUUUUUUGUUAUUAGAAUAUUUUUUUCAUAAAAACUGUACAUUUACUUCAAAAUAAAUACCAUUAAAUCAUUCAUUUUGAUUUUUUUUUUAAUGCUAUGAAGCUUCAGACUAAAAUAAAGGCCUAGCGUUUAGCCAUAUUAUUCCCCAAAUGGAAACUGAAUACACGACCAUCUCUUGUUAAUGUUGAUCAGUUUAUUUGCUUGCUUUUGUGCCACACAACAUAUGAACAACGCACAAUAAAAUACAUGCAUGUAGUAUGAUAGAAUAUAAUAGGAUCAACUAUUUAUUGAUGUCAGUAAGCUAUACGGUCGAUGAAAAUAAAAACACCAUUUUAAAAAUUGCAGUGUGUAUUGCAAAUAUGUCACAAAAAAUGUUCUUUGAUCUCCAUUUUGUUCAGUGCAAGUGUUUCAGCAUUUAAAAAGUGUCCUCUAAACUAAUUUGAUUGGACCGAUUCUCGUGGAUAUAUAGAUAAAAGAAAAUAGCGUUGUUUGUAAAUUCUUAAUUCAUGAAAAGCAAAUUGC